rnacentral:misc_RNA from 1 species
UUAAGUUCAGCGGGUAUCCUUACCUGAUCCGAGGUCCACCUGGAAAAAUAGAUGGGGGGUUGGACCGGGCCGGCCAGCCUCACACGAGCAGUGACGAUAGUCCCAUACGCUCGGGGGCUGGACGCGGCGCCGUCCCUGUCUUUGGGGCCCGUCCCGGGGGACGAAGGCCCAACACACCAGCCGGGCUGGAGGGUUGAAAU